UACGAAGGGGGCUAGCGUUGCUCGGAAUCACUGGGCGUAAAGGGUGCGUAGGCGGGUCUUUAAGUCAGGGGUGAAAUCCUGGAGCUCAACUCCAGAACUGCCUUUGAUACUGAAGAUCUUGAGUUCGGGAGAGGUGAGUGGAACUGCGAGUGUAGAGGUGAAAUUCGUAGAUAUUCGGAAGAACACCAGUGGCGAAGGCGACUUACUGGACGAUUGUUGACGCUGAGGCUCGAAAGCGUGGGGAGCAAACAGG
rnacentral:rRNA from 1 species